GUUCUCCUCAACAUCACUUUCUCCUUACUAAAACCCACUUCUUCCUCUUCCUUAGUUGCAGCACCAUCUUCCUCUUUUCUUCCUCUCCAUGGCAGCACCUCACCAUCACCAACGCCCCUCCUCCUCACCAUGGCUGUUAUGUCCAGCCAAGAGGCCACCACAAUCACGUUCUUCUUCUUUCUCUCCUUGGCCACCACGAGUAGGCCAGCACCACAAGGAACACGUACAGCCCCAUUCAUCAUAUGGUAUUGUUCAAGCUUCAUCAUCCAAGGAGACACCAUCACCAUGCCACUUUACUUCCUCAUGUGGGUACAAAUGACGAAAGCUCUUUGCGGCAAAGCUAAAGAAUAAAAUGAAGCGAGCCGACACACGAAAGCAAGGAUGUGAUUGGAUUGAAGUUGCAGUUUAGGAAGGAAAUUGGCUAAGGUAAGGGUAACUUAGUUUUAGCGCGUCUUUGAGUCCUGCCUGCUUUUAUCGCACUGCAUGCGUUUGAGACGAAGAUGUUUAUAUUGAUUGCCAUUUGAUUUUGAUUGUUGUACUGAACUGGGAAAAUGUUUUUUGGAGGCUUCGACCGAGUGAACUUAUUGAGACGUGUGUCUCCGUUUUCUGAGAUGCUUCGGCCGUUUACUGGUUUCUGUCAUUACUGCUUUCUAGUGGAUAAGACAUGGUUAUUAUUGAUACUUGACUUGAUUUUUGGAUUUAGUAUUGUUUAUUGAUUUUGGCAUAUAGGGCUGAAACUUAGUGGCAGUGCAGUGGUUGUCGUUCCACAUGAUUGUCCCGUCUUUCGAGGCGUUAUUAAGUUGCAUUCAGUGGUUGUCGUUCCAUAUGACUGUCCCGUCUUUCGAGGCGUUAUUAAGUGGCAUUCAGUGGUUGUCGUUCCACAUGGUUGUCCCGUCUUUUGAGGCGUUAUUAAGUGGCACUCGGUGGUUGUUGUUCCACAUGGUUGUCCUGUCUUUUGAGGCGUUAUUAAGUGGCAUUCAGUGGUUGUCGUUCCACGUCUGUCCCGUCUUGCGAGACGAUAUUGAUCGAUCCAUUUUGGUAUAAGCAUAUAGUUGCAUUAUAGGACACUAACAUCUGAUUUUGUUAAUACGUGAUUUAAUUCUAGGUUGAUUGCUUAUGUUUUUUAUAUAUGAUUAAAUUCUAUGUUGCUGAUUUUGCUAUAUGCGUGAUUGAAUCAUAUCGUGGAGCCUGUGUGGCAUACUGUGUGGGCCUUGUGCCGGUGUGUGGAGCCUGUGUGGCAUAUUGUGGGGCCUUCAUGGCAUAUUAAGUGGCAGAUCAAUGGUUUUCGUUCCAGGCGAUGAAAAAUCUUCGAUGGAGCUUGACCUUCGUACGAGUCGGAGAGGAGAACUUGAAGAAUUGUGGAAGACUUGAAGAAUAGAAUCGGGUGUAGGGUUAGAGCCUUGGGUUAGAGAGCUAACUAUUAUUGGUUUAAGCUUGCAUAAUAAUUUUAGAAAUUUAUAUUUGGGGUUUCGGGUACUCGCCUUGUUCAAGGCUUGAUGUAAAUCCCUUUGUAGUUGGGAGUAUGCAUGACAUGUUUUGGAAGUACAUUUAAAAAGAAAAAAAUAUACUCGUGUUUAUAUAACCUUUUGGAAAACAUUACAUAUUUAUUUUAUUAGAUUGUUACCGUAACCCCUUGAAAUUCGGGGCGUUACAGUCAAAAGGCUAAAAGAGGUAGAGAAUCCAGAAAAGUUGAGAAAGCAGUGGAUGAAGCAAAUGAUACUCCAUCCAGUCCAUUAGAUCACCAGCAAGGAAUUGUAAGGACUGGACCAUCAGCUGGUUGGAUUAUGGUCAGGUGGUAUGUUUAAUAUGUCUUUUUACUGUUUUGGCUAUGUUUGGGGUAUGUUUAUAUUGU